GGGUUGUGAGGUUAAGCGACUAAGCGUACACGGUGGAUGCCCUGGCAGUCAGAGGCGAUGAAGGACGUGCUAAUCUGCGAUAAGCGUCGGUAAGGUGAUAUGAACCGUUAUAACCGGCGAUUUCCGAAUGGGGAAACCCAGUGUGUUUCGACACACUAUCAUUAACUGAAUCCAUAGGUUAAUGAGGCGAACCGGGGGAACUGAAACAUCUAAGUACCCCGAGGAAAAGAAAUCAACCGAGAUUCCCCCAGUAGCGGCGAGCGAACGGGGAGCAGCCCAGAGCCUGAAUCAGUGUGUGUGUUAGUGGAAGCGUCUGGAAAGGCGCGCGAUACAGGGUGACAGCCCCGUACACAAAAAUGCACAUGCUGUGAGCUCGAUGAGUAGGGCGGGACACGUGGUAUCCUGUCUGAAUAUGGGGGGACCAUCCUCCAAGGCUAAAUACUCCUGACUGACCGAUAGUGAACCAGUACCGUGAGGGAAAGGCGAAAAGAACCCCGGCGAGGGGAGUGAAAAAGAACCUGAAACCGUGUACGUACAAGCAGUGGGAGCACGCUUAGGCGUGUGACUGCGUACCUUUUGUAUAAUGGGUCAGCGACUUAUAUUCUGUAGCAAGGUUAACCGAAUAGGGGAGCCGAAGGGAAACCGAGUCUUAACUGGGCGUUAAGUUGCAGGGUAUAGACCCGAAACCCGGUGAUCUAGCCAUGGGCAGGUUGAAGGUUGGGUAACACUAACUGGAGGACCGAACCGACUAAUGUUGAAAAAUUAGCGGAUGACUUGUGGCUGGGGGUGAAAGGCCAAUCAAACCGGGAGAUAGCUGGUUCUCCCCGAAAGCUAUUUAGGUAGCGCCUCGUGAAUUCAUCUCCGGGGGUAGAGCACUGUUUCGGCAAGGGGGUCAUCCCGACUUACCAACCCGAUGCAAACUGCGAAUACCGGAGAAUGUUAUCACGGGAGACACACGGCGGGUGCUAACGUCCGUCGUGAAGAGGGAAACAACCCAGACCGCCAGCUAAGGUCCCAAAGUCAUGGUUAAGUGGGAAACGAUGUGGGAAGGCCCAGACAGCCAGGAUGUUGGCUUAGAAGCAGCCAUCAUUUAAAGAAAGCGUAAUAGCUCACUGGUCGAGUCGGCCUGCGCGGAAGAUGUAACGGGGCUAAACCAUGCACCGAAGCUGCGGCAGCGACGCUUAUGCGUUGUUGGGUAGGGGAGCGUUCUGUAAGCCUGCGAAGGUGUGCUGUGAGGCAUGCUGGAGGUAUCAGAAGUGCGAAUGCUGACAUAAGUAACGAUAAAGCGGGUGAAAAGCCCGCUCGCCGGAAGACCAAGGGUUCCUGUCCAACGUUAAUCGGGGCAGGGUGAGUCGACCCCUAAGGCGAGGCCGAAAGGCGUAGUCGAUGGGAAACAGGUUAAUAUUCCUGUACUUGGUGUUACUGCGAAGGGGGGACGGAGAAGGCUAUGUUGGCCGGGCGACGGUUGUCCCGGUUUAAGCGUGUAGGCUGGUUUUCCAGGCAAAUCCGGAAAAUCAAGGCUGAGGCGUGAUGACGAGGCACUACGGUGCUGAAGCAACAAAUGCCCUGCUUCCAGGAAAAGCCUCUAAGCAUCAGGUAACAUCAAAUCGUACCCCAAACCGACACAGGUGGUCAGGUAGAGAAUACCAAGGCGCUUGAGAGAACUCGGGUGAAGGAACUAGGCAAAAUGGUGCCGUAACUUCGGGAGAAGGCACGCUGAUAUGUAGGUGAAGUCCCUCGCGGAUGGAGCUGAAAUCAGUCGAAGAUACCAGCUGGCUGCAACUGUUUAUUAAAAACACAGCACUGUGCAAACACGAAAGUGGACGUAUACGGUGUGACGCCUGCCCGGUGCCGGAAGGUUAAUUGAUGGGGUUAGCGCAAGCGAAGCUCUUGAUCGAAGCCCCGGUAAACGGCGGCCGUAACUAUAACGGUCCUAAGGUAGCGAAAUUCCUUGUCGGGUAAGUUCCGACCUGCACGAAUGGCGUAAUGAUGGCCAGGCUGUCUCCACCCGAGACUCAGUGAAAUUGAACUCGCUGUGAAGAUGCAGUGUACCCGCGGCAAGACGGAAAGACCCCGUGAACCUUUACUAUAGCUUGACACUGAACAUUGAGCCUUGAUGUGUAGGAUAGGUGGGAGGCUUUGAAGUGUGGACGCCAGUCUGCAUGGAGCCGACCUUGAAAUACCACCCUUUAAUGUUUGAUGUUCUAACGUUGACCCGUAAUCCGGGUUGCGGACAGUGUCUGGUGGGUAGUUUGACUGGGGCGGUCUCCUCCUAAAGAGUAACGGAGGAGCACGAAGGUUGGCUAAUCCUGGUCGGACAUCAGGAGGUUAGUGCAAUGGCAUAAGCCAGCUUGACUGCGAGCGUGACGGCGCGAGCAGGUGCGAAAGCAGGUCAUAGUGAUCCGGUGGUUCUGAAUGGAAGGGCCAUCGCUCAACGGAUAAAAGGUACUCCGGGGAUAACAGGCUGAUACCGCCCAAGAGUUCAUAUCGACGGCGGUGUUUGGCACCUCGAUGUCGGCUCAUCACAUCCUGGGGCUGAAGUAGGUCCCAAGGGUAUGGCUGUUCGCCAUUUAAAGUGGUACGCGAGCUGGGUUUAGAACGUCGUGAGACAGUUCGGUCCCUAUCUGCCGUGGGCGCUGGAGAACUGAGGGGGGCUGCUCCUAGUACGAGAGGACCGGAGUGGACGCAUCACUGGUGUUCGGGUUGUCAUGCCAAUGGCACUGCCCGGUAGCUAAAUGCGGAAGAGAUAAGUGCUGAAAGCAUCUAAGCACGAAACUUGCCCCGAGAUGAGUUCUCCCUGACUCCUUGAGAGUCCUGAAGGAACGUUGAAGACGACGACGUUGAUAGGCCGG
rnacentral:rRNA from 1 species